UGCUUUUUAAGCCUCCUUUUUCCUUUACAAAAACAAAAAAAAACGAAAAAAAAAAUCCUCCUUUGCAUGCAUUUUAGUUAAGUUUUCUCUCUUUCAUUACUUUGUAAAUAAGUUUUAAUUCUUUCAUUGCCUUUAACUGUAAAGAUAAGUUUCCUUUUACUUUUACAAAAAAAAACACCAAAAAAAUCGUCCUUUGCAUGUGUUUUAAAUAAGUUUUCUGUCUUUUAUUACUUUAUAUAUAAGUUUAAGUCUUUCAUUGCUUUUUAAUUUAUAGAUAAGUUUCCUUUUCCCUUCACAAAAAACAAAACAAAACAAAAAAAAGAAAAAAUCCUCCCUUGCAUGUACAUUAAAUAAGUUUUCUCUCUUUUAUUACUUUGUAAAUAUUUUUUUAUUCUUUCAUUGCUUUUAACUUUAAAGAUAAGUUUCCUUUUCCCUCUACAAAAAACAAACAAAAAAAACUUCCUUUGCAUGCAUUUUAGUUAAGUUUUCUCUCUUUUAUUAUUUUGUAAAUACAUUUUAAUUCUUUCAUUGCUUUUAACUUUAAAGAUAAGUUUCCUUUUCCCUCUGCAAAAAAAAUGGGGAAAAAAUCCUCCUUUUCAUGUAUUUCAGGUAAGUUUUAACUCUCUCAUUAGUUUUCAAACCAGUUUCAUGUUUUUCAUUGCUUUGUAGUUUAUAGAUAAGCUUCCUUUUCCCUCUACAAAAAACAAACAAAAAAAAACUUCCUUUGCAUGUAUUUUAGUUAAGUUCUCUCUCUUUUAUUAUUUUGUAAAUACAUUUUAAUUCUUUCAUUGCUUUUAACUUUAAAGAUAAGUUUCUUUUUCCCUCUACAAAAAACAAACAAACAAAAACUUCCUUUGCAUGUAUUUUAGUUAAGUUUUCUCUCUUCUAUUACUUUGUAAAUACAUUUUAAUUCUUUCAUUGCUUUUAACUUUAAAGGUAAGUUUCUUUUUCCCUCUACAAAAAACAAAAAAACAAUCCUCUUUUCAUGUAUUUUAGAUAAGUUUUAACUCUCUCAUUAGUUCUCAAAACAGUUUUUUUACUUUAAAGAUAAGUUUCCUUUUCCUUUUACAAAAAUACACCAAACAAAUCGUCCUUUGCAUGUAUUUUAAAUACAUUUUCUGUCUUUUAUUACUUUAUAUAUAAGUUUAAGUCUGUCAUUGCUUUUACUUUAUAGAUAAGUUUCCUUUUCCCUUAAAAAAAAGAAAAAAAAGAAAAAAAUCCUCCCUUGCAUGUACAUUAGAUAAGUUUUCUCUCUUUUUUUUUACUUUAUAAACAAGUUUUAAGUCUUUCCUUGCUUUUUACUUUAUAGAUAAGUUUCCUUUUGCCUUCACAAAAAAAUCCUCCCUUUCAAGCGUUUUAGUUAAGUUUUCUCUCUUUUAUUACUUUGUAAAUAAGUUUUAAUUCUUUCAUUGCUUUUAACUUUAAAGAUAAGUUUCCUUUUCCCUCUACAAAAAACAAAAGACAAAAAAAACCUAAUUUGCAUGCAUUUUAGUUAAGUUUUCUCUCUUCUAUUACUUUGUAUAUACAUUUUAAUUCUUUCAUUGCUUUUUACUCUAAAGAUAAGUUUCCUUUUCCCUUCAAACCCCCCCCCCAAAAAAAUCCUCAUUUCAUGUAUUUUAGAUAAGUUUUAACUCUCUCAUUAGUUCUCAAAACAGUUUUUUUUACUUUAAAGAUAAGUUUCCUUUUCCCUCUACAAAAAUGGGGAAAAAACCCUCCUUUUCAUGUAUUUCAGGUAAGUUUUAACUCUCAUUAGUUUUCAAACCAGUUUCACGUUUUUCAUUGCUUUUUACUUUAUAGAUAAGCUUCCUUUUCCUCUACAAAAACAAAGAAAUCCUCAUUUGCAUGUAAUUUAGCCCAAACAAAGCUUUUAUAUAGAGCUGUUAGUAGUGAAUGGUCAGUAUACUGAGUCAGAGUCAGAACCAGCAGUCUCAGAUCAUCUCAGCCCGUCAUGAGAACUGUCUCUAAUGUGAAUGGUCAUUUUGAUAUGAGUUUUUAUUAUCCAAUGCGUGGUAGUUAAGAUAUUGUAAUGAGAUUAAUUGAGUUUAUAUGCAACAUUUAGUCCUGAAGUCAUGAGCAACAGGAAACAUAUUUGCAUGGGAUAUUGCCAGAGGGUCCAUGUUAGGGUGGGUUUAGACCCUCCUAAACAUCAUAAUGAGCAGUUGCACUACUAAUAGUAGCAGUAUAUUAGUUUGAUUGUAUUUGAUGCACAAUCUGGUGAACAACCAAUACAAAGUUCUUUUCAGACUAUUUAAACUGUAAGAAAUAAAAUAUACCAGUUUGAACCCUUUCAUUCCAUUUUAGUUGGUAGUUGGUUUAGUUGGUGGUAAGUUUAACCUCUUUCAUUCUUCUUUAGUAUUUGGACAAGUUAGCCUUCAGCAAUGUGAUUCCUUCUGCACUUUCUUAGAAAAACUGCAUCAUCUGAAUAUAUAAAGGUAAAGGUAAGUAUUACAAAUCACUCACCCCAACUCUUCACAUUUAUUCUUCAACCUGUGAUGGCCCUAGUCCUUAGGCCAGUAUCUGUGUUGUCCCGUUUCCCUCUUCCCUGCCUGUGCUCCUCUUUUCAGAUUCUUCCUGAUGGUCUGGCCCUGCCCACCUUGGCGAAGGAUUGGUGUCACCUGUUUAGAGUGUUUAUAAGCCACGUGAUCCCAAGACAGCACUCUCUCUCCCUCCUGGAAGGCUGGUGCCAUUUUGGGCUCUCCAUUUGGGUUUUGUUUGGGUUGUGAUAAUGUUUAGAUAGCUUUGGUUCAUGUUACAUAGUUUAGGUUGGCACCCACAGUUUCAUUGCACCCAACAUCCAUCUUUCACCAGUCACUUUACACUUCAUAAUCUGCUUAUGGCCUGUGCACUACAUAUCUACAACCUGCAGGUGGGGCUGAACGGUUGAAGGCAGAGGGAGCCCAUAUCAGAUCAUUAAAGACAGCGAGUGCAGAACCUCCACAACCGAAAAACAGCAGGAGAGAUUUCUGGAGAUACUUAGCAUUCGAGACAAAUCAAACAAGGCGUGUCAAGCCAUGCUGCAAUCCAGCGCUAACAAAAGAGGACUGCUUAUUUUGUACACAGAGAAACCAGCCCCACCUCCUGAGUGGACUCCUUCUCCUUCUGGCUCUGGUGGCGCUCGUGGCUCAGCUUGUCAGCCAUCUUCCUGCGGGUCUCCAUCUCC